rnacentral:rRNA from 1 species
GACGAACGCUGGCGGCGUGCCUAAUACAUGCAAGUCGAGCGAACAGAAGGGAGCUUGCUCCCGGAUGUUAGCGGCGGACGGGUGAGUAACACGUGGGUAACCUGCCUGUAAGACUGGGAUAACUCCGGGAAACCGGAGCUAAUACCGGAUAGUUCCUUGAACCGCAUGGUUCAAGGAUGAAAGACGGUUUCGGCUGUCACUUACAGAUGGACCCGCGGCGCAUUAGCUAGUUGGUGGGGUAAUGGCUCACCAAGGCGACGAUGCGUAGCCGACCUGAGAGGGUGAUCGGCCACACUGGGACUGAGACACGGCCCAGACUCCUACGGGAGGCAGCAGUAGGGAAUCUUCCGCAAUGGACGAAAGUCUGACGGAGCAACGCCGCGUGAGUGAUGAAGGUUUUCGGAUCGUAAAGCUCUGUUGUUAGGGAAGA